rnacentral:rRNA from 1 species
AUGGUUGGACUCACAGGGAGGGGGCCAGGGGUACGAGGGAAGUCCGCCGGUGCAAGUUAUCAUUGGAUUGUUGAACACUUUGGGGAAUGUCCGGCUGAUGCGGACGAUCAAACAGUGCAGCAGUAUACCAGGGCAUACUUGCGGUAUGUAGCCAGCCGGACUCUUUUCUCUGACGGCACUGGCGUCAACGCUUCCUUUAUGUGGGUUAAGCUGUUUGCUGGUUGGGAGCAUGGACUCAGUUGGGGUACGACGGCGUUGGCUUAUUUGUAUCGUCAGGUAAGUGGUUUUGCUUAUAAUAGUGUGUUCACCAUGUAG